rnacentral:lncRNA from 1 species
GAAGAAAUAAAACUUUAUUUGUUCACAGAUGACACGAUUGCCCAUGUAGAAAAUACGAAAGAUUCAGAAGAAAAACUGUUGGAUGAAUAAAUUAUCAUAGCAAGGUUGCAGGAUAUAAAAUUAAUAUUUAAAGGUCACUUUCCUCUAUAUCAAAAAUGAACAAAUAGAAUUGAAAAUAUAUUGUCAUUUACACAGCUACCAUUAACACCCCCAAAAUGAAAUUUAAGUAUAAAUAUAACAAAAUAUGCAUAAGAUUUAUAUGAAGAAAACCACAAAACCCUGAUGAAAGAAAUCAAAGGAGAAAAAAAAUAAGUGGAGAGAUAUUAUUCCCCGUUCACGGAUCAGAAGACUCAAAAUUGUCAAAAUGUCAGUUCUUCCCAACUUGAUAUAUUUGGUCUACAGAUUUAAUGUGAUCCCAAUCAAAUUCCCAACAAGAUGUUUUGUGGAUGUGACAAACUGAUUCUAAAGUAUAUACGUAGAGGCAAAAGAUCCAGAAUAGCCAACUCAUUAUUGAAGAACAAAGAGGACUGAUACUACCUGCCUUUAAGACUUACCACUAUAGGGGGGCACCUGGGUGGCUCAGCAGUUGAGUGUCUGCCUUCAGCCCAGGGCAUGAUCCCAAAGUCCUGGGAUCGAGUUCCACAUCGGGGUCCCUGCAUGGAGCCUGCUUCUCCCUCUGCCUGUGUCUGUUCUCUCUCUGUGUCUCUCAUGAAUAAAUAAUCUUUAAAAAGAAAAGAAAAAUUGGCAGAAAGGUUUCAGACCAGACAAGCUUGAGCCCUUCAAACAAAACCAGAGGAGCCUGUUCUUGUGAGAACAUGGGCACCCCACCAGGACCACUAACCUGGAAUGAAGGAAAGGGUAGCCCAAGAGAGCCAACUGUAUAGAGCACUGGUGUCCCACUAGGAUCUGUGGAACAUUUCCAGUGGCACGACUUGCCACACACAGAGUAAGGUCCCUUUAGGUCUUCAAAGUCAGAGGGUGAUUUGUGGCACCCUUUGAUGGAGAAGGUAGCCUUGUCCCAAUGGUGAUGGUGUAAAACACAGCAUGGCUGAUGGUGUUGGCUGCAGACUCGAGAAAGCAAAACCUCGAUCAUAGGUGCUGCCUCCUGAGUGGGUGUGAAUGGGUCCUUUUUGGGUGCCAAAUGGCACCUGAUACUUGGGAAGCAUGAUGGGGCACAAACCUAAACCAUGACCACCUAAGGAGGCUAGUUUUUCCUAUCCAAGAAAGCCAUGCUUCACAGGUAACAUUCAGAUCAUGAAAACUGAUGUUGAUGGAGGUUUUUUCCAAUGGAAUAAUUUUAAACCACCACUAGGAGCUGCUGAUUAAUGACUUUUAAUAGGAGUUUGGUGCCCCAUGCACAUCCCUUUGGGUUCGACCACUGUGCAGCGAGGCCCAGCUCCACACUGCCUUUUUCUGGAGGCAGAAAGAGCCAGGGAAUUUGCCCUAGGACCAACUCACAACCACUGACUGAAGGGAAUGGCAGACAAACAUCCACAGCCCCUCACCCCUCCAAUGUUCAUUUAGAGCCGACUAUUGUAUUACAGGUCCCUAGAGGUACAAAGCUCCCUACCUAUCCUUGAUAAUCCAAGUAUCCUUGAUACUUGUAUGGGCUGCCUCCCCUUCCAGUGCUUCCUGGGAUCACCUCCCAUGUAAACCACUUGUAUUUAAUCCUUACCUCAGGCUCUGCUUCUCAGAGAUCCAUGCCAACCCACCACAUUUUGGUAGAGAAAACAAGUACUGCUACCCAAAGGAGGCACAGGAGACAAGAGUGAUGUGAGGCACAAGAGGUCUCCGCUUCUUGGAGGGCAUCUCUGACCAUAAAGGCUCAGAUAUCCAACUCAGAGCCAUACAAAGAGGCAAGUACUCAUUGAAGCAAAUAUGCAUUAGCCAAACUUAAAUAAAUAGAGAGUGAAAUCACACAAUUGGUGCUUUUACUUCAAAAUAAGAAAGAACCUCACCCUGGCCAGAUCUCUUGCACCCACCUGAUGGUACCUUCUCUCCCUGAAGACGAGGGAAACCUAUGAUUAUCUCAAGGCUGCCUGGUUGGCAAGGGCUGGGCCCAAAAUGAGUUACAGAAUCUCCCUGCUGGGGCAGCCCCAGUGGCCCAGCAGUUUAGCACCACCUUCAGCCCAGGGCGUGAUCCUGGGGACCCGGGAUCGAGUCCCACAUCGGGCUCCCUGAGUGGGGCCUGCUUCUCCCUCUGCCUGUGUCUCUGCCUCUCUCUGUCUCUCUCAUGAAUAAAUAAAAUCUUAAAAAAAAAAAAAAAAAAAAAA